CCGCCUUCUGCAUUUCCUGCUCUGCUUCAUCUUCUGACCUUCUUCACAUCCUCUGGUCCAGCUGGUUGGGACUAUAAGCCUUGCCUUGAACAGUUAAGCUUUUUAAAUACCUCCAACCCUUUGGACUUGACCUGUCAGACACCCAAAGGAGAGACAGCCAUCCCCUAUCCCAACUCCAAUCAUCCAACUCCAACAACAAAAUUUGCCUACUGAUGCAUCUUUAUGGUCCUGGAGGAAGACCCAGCCCUGUGGGGCCCAAAAGGCCUGGAAAGGCUGACACAGCUUUGCAAGGAAAUGACUUCAUUCUCACCAGGGGCCUGAGAUGACUGGGA
rnacentral:lncRNA from 1 species